rnacentral:rRNA from 1 species
UACGAAGGGGGCAAGCGUUGUUCGGAUUCACUGGGCGUAAAGGGUGCGCAGGUGGGCUGUCAAGUUCGAUGUGAAAGCCCCGGGCUUAACCCGGGAAUGGCAUUGAAAACUGAUGGUCUGGAGGAUUGGAGGGGGGACUGGAAUUCUUGGUGUAGCAGUGAAAUGCGUAGAUAUCAAGAGGAACACCAGUGGCGAAGGCGGGUCCCUGGACAAUUCCUGACACUGAGGCACGAAAGCCAAGGGAGCAAACAGG